rnacentral:lncRNA from 1 species
UCCAUUAUGUUGUUAUUGAAAUCCUUACUGGUUGUAAGGUUGAGGGGAGUGAGACGGGGUCUCAUAUCUAGGAGUUCCUAGGUAGAAGUUGCAUUGGGUAGGGAUUAAGUGAGGAGUUGUAAACGGGGGAAUUUAACUCUGAAUUAAUACUGCUGAUAGUGAAUUUCCUCCUGGAUUGGUAUCCCCCAGAUUAGGCUGUUAGGCUGAACUGGGUUAACAAUUAUGUGUGUCGUUUAUGCUUUUCAGUAUAUGUUUUUAAUGCUCUGUUUU